AACGUAGGAGACAAACGUUAUCCGGAGUUACUGGGCGUAAAGGGCGUGUAGGUGGUCGUGUAAGUCUGGCGUGAAAUUUUUCGGCUUAACCGGGAAAGGUCGUCGGAUACUGCACAACUAGAGGACGGUAGAGGCGUGUGGAAUUCCGGGUGUAGUGGUGAAAUGCGUAGAGAUCCGGAGGAACACCAGUGGCGAAGGCGACACGCUGGGCCGUACCUGACACUGAUGCGCGACAGCAUGGGGAGCAAACAGG
rnacentral:rRNA from 1 species